GCAACCCCAGGUCAGGCGGACUA
rnacentral:rRNA from 1 species